CCGGCGUUGCGCUCAAUUAUG
rnacentral:miRNA from 1 species